rnacentral:rRNA from 1 species
CUACGGGACGCAGCAGUGGGGAAUAUUGCGCAAUGGGGGAAACCCUGACGCAGCAACGCCGCGUGAGUGAAGAAGGUUUUCGGAUCGUAAAGCUCUGUCUUUGGGGACGAACAAAUGACGGUACCCAAGGAGGAAGCCCCGGCUAACUACGUGCCAGCAGCCGCGGUAAUACGUAGGGGGCAAGCGUUGUCCGGAAUUACUGGGCGUAAAGCGCACGCAGGCGGUCUAUUAAGUUAGAUGUGAAAGUCCGGGGCUCAACCCCGAAAUUGCAUCUAAUACUGGUAGACUUGAGUCUCGGAGAGGUAAGCGGAAUUCCUAGUGUAGCGGUGAAAUGCGUAGAGAUUAGGAAGAACACCGGUGGCGAAGGCGGCUUACUGGACGAGUACUGACGCUCAGGUGCGAAAGCGUGGGGAGCGAACAGGAUUAGAUACCCGGGUAGUC